rnacentral:snoRNA from 1 species
AAACCAUGAUGAGGACACUCUAGGACAAGGUCUUUGAAACGUUCCAUGCAUCGAGAAAAUGAUUCAUUGGGACGCUAGCGAAACUGGAGAAUGUCGUUCCUAAGUUU